rnacentral:rRNA from 2 species
CGAAUGCUGACAUAAGUAACGAUAAAGCGGGUGAAAAGCCCGCUCGCCGGAAGACCAAGGGUUCCUGUCCAACGUUAAUCGGGGCAGGGUGAGUCGACCCCUAAGGCGAGGCCGAAAGGCGUAGUCGAUGGGAAACAGGUUAAUAUUCCUGUACUUGGUGUUACUGCGAAGGGGGGACGGAGAAGGCUAUGUUGGCCGGGCGACGGUUGUCCCGGUUUAAGCGUGUAGGCUGGUUUUCCAGGCAAAUCCGGAAAAUCAAGGCUGAGGCGUGAUGACGAGGCACUACGGUGCUGAAGCAACAAAUGCCCUGCUUCCAGGAAAAGCCUCUAAGCAUC